ensembl:lncRNA
GAAGCAGCCACAUUGCCACAGUGGCCACAGUGCAGGAGCAGGUGCUGCUGGGGAGCUGGGCCCCAGGCUUUAUCUACACUGUCUCACUGUAAGUCCUCUCCGAACUUGGCACCAUCGUCUGACUCCACACAUUGUCAUAGCCCUGCCAGGCAGGUGCUUGCAAAGGCCACAGAGCCAUUGAGUGGGUGCAGGAGGGAGGCACACCAGGAAUUCGGCCCUGGUCUGAGGCAGCAGGGGACACUUGACUGUGGUCAGCAGGGCCUGAACCCUGGCUCUGGAGCCUGUGAGUCACCCUGAGGGUGCAGAAAUCUGAGUGCCUGGGGCCAUGUGCAGAGUGUGGCCAUGUCGCAGCUGUGGCUUCAGCAUUCAGAGCCUCUGCCUCCACUGGGGAUUAAUGCAGGUUUCCAACAUCUCUGUUUGGUCGGUGCUGAUCUUUUUCCUAACUGGCGACUUACUGGUUCCAGGAGAGUUCUGGGCAGGCUGCAAAUGUCUGCAUUAAAACAGCUCUGCUGGGCUAAGACAGGACAGAAGCAGACAGCAGGUGGAGGAGACACACUUUCCUAUCCAGCAGAACCUGUGGCAAGCUCCACAGCGCUCUCCAGUCCUGCUUCCGGGAAGGUGGUUAAUUCCAUCUGGAACUCUUUAUAUGUGGCACUAAGGGCAUGAGUUAUGAUUAACUUCUUGUGCAUCCUUAGAGCUUCCUGAUGCAGAUGCAAACACACAGGAAUAAUCUGUCGUGAAAUUGCUGGGUCAGAGGACACACAUCUUUGUAAUUCUCUAGGUGUUGCCAAAUUAUCCUGCCUGUGGUCAUGCGAUUCGCUCUUCCCAGGCAUGAAGACCACUGUUUCUCCACGGCUCCUUACCUGCACAUCUGGAUGUCUUCUGACAUUUGCUGAUUGGAUAGGUUUCCUAUUCUAUUACUAGUAAGGCUGACCAUCUAUUUAGCUUAUUGUCACUGGACCAUUCCAUCAAAGUUUUUUGUCUAUGGAUCUAUUGAGUUUUUUAUCUUUUUCUUUCUUAUUGAUUUUUUGGAACUUUUAAUAUAUUAAGGAUGUAAGUUGUGAUAAGAAGUGAAAAUACAUUCUUUCCCUCAGUGUCUGUCUUGAUUUCUUAAUUCGUUGAUGGUAGUUUUUCAUGCAGAAAUUCCUAUUUUUAUGUAGUUUAACUUAUAAAUUCUUUUACUGCAUUUGUAUUUUUCAGUUUUAGUUUAAAAAAUCAUGGAAUUUGUCCAUGAUUUCUGUUAGUACUUUUAUGGCUUUACUUAUAACAUUUAAAUAUUUUAUCUUUUUGAAAUUUAUUUUUAUAUACAUUGUGAGACAUGGGUGCAAGUUUCAUCUUUUAUUAUUUAUUUUGCCGAAUGCUACUCGGUUGUCCUAAUGCCAUUUAUCACAUAGUUUUUUUUCACUAACAAUUUUAGAUGUCACUUUUAUGACUUACUAAUUUCCCUCCUAUUUUUGUGUCUAUCUGCAUUUCCUGUGCUUUUCUGUUGUUCUGUGUGUUUGGUCAUGACCCAGUACAACAGUGUUUUAGUUAUUAAAAUUAUUAUAUGAUCUAA